rnacentral:rRNA from 1 species
AAGGGCACCACAAGAACGCGUGGAGCAUGUGGCUUAAUUUGACUCAACGCGGGAAAUCUUACCGGGUCCGGACACACUGAGGAUUGACAGGCAAUAUAUUAGCAUAAAGACUCGUCUUUAGCGCUAAUUGUUAAAUAUGCUAGUCCUUUCAUGAUUAUGUGAUAGGUGGUGCAUGGCCGUUCUUAGUUCGUGGAGUGAUCUGUCUGCUUAAUUGCGUUUCACUAAGGGCCCAUAAAUUCAAGGUAUGUUAGCAAAUGCUGCUCUAUUGACCCCUAAUAGGCUUAACUGUCUUUAGCGCGUGUCUCUACGAGUUCUUUAAAGCACUGCGCAUGCUGUUGGGUCCUGAAAGCAACGAACGUGACCGCAACGUCUUGUUGCCUCUCUAUAAUAUCCUCUUAUUUUUAAUAAGAGUAUUUACCUGAGGCUAUUUUAAAACUAGACGGACCGCUGUUUUCUUUCUUAAACCAGAGGAAGGUUGCGGCAUAAACAGGUCUGUGAUGCCCUUAGAUGUUCCGGGCUGCACACGUGCUACAAUGAUCAGUACAGUGAGCAUCUCAAUUUUAUAACACCGUAUUAAGCGCUUGGGUCGUAAUUGUUAGGCCUUUUAGGUUUUUUCAAUUGCGUUCUCCAAUGCACACGGUAAAGCCUGCUUCGAGAGUAAGUGGGUAAUCCAUUGGAAGUAAUGAUUUCCUUAUUUUUAUAAACAGCACACCAAUAUACGGCAUUCAUUCCCGAGACGGCUUAGUUCCGACUUUGUGCGAAUGUAAUGUAUUCUUAUCCGUAUGUGCGAUUGUCAAUUCAUGGUGGGGACAGACCAUUGUUAAUUGUUGGUCUCGGUCUUAACUAGGAAUGCCUUGUACGGGUCUUUGGUUCAACAAACCAUCCGGAAUACGUCCCUGCCCUUUGUACACACCGCCCGUCGCUCUUACCGAUGGACUUCUUUGUGAGUCUUGGGGACUGGGUUAAGCGAUUUCUUUUUGAAUGAGCUCUACCUAUGGAAACCAAUACGAACAAUGUGGUCUAAAGGAAAGAGAAGUCGUAACAAGGCAACAGUAGGUGAACCUGCAGAAGGAUCA